UUCGAUUUAUUCGAUUAUCAAGCACCAAAGUAUAUAUAUAAGUUCGCAGAGGUACGAUAUUCUAGUCCAAUCAGUAUACGUUUAUUCAAUUGUCUUAUGUAAGCUUUAUGUUCCUAAGUUACUAAUGAUAAAAUCUGUUUGUUUCCCUUUCCACUCAAUGACCUGCUGCCAUUUUUCGCUUCCAAGUGAUAUCAUUGUGCCCACUUUCAACUUACCAUACUCACGUAUACUGUCUGAAGAAUAUGCGAAUUACAUGGGCACUAAUUUUACUUCUUCUCACCACACCUUUAACGUCAAUAUCACUCUUGGAUACGAUUUCAUCAAACGCAGAAUUGUGCCAAUAUUUUCUCCAGGGUUCGUGUCUAGAUGAAUUUGUGUUGCGGCAACUCGGAAUAAAUGUACAAGUACCAUUUCUCGCUUCGUUCAUCGUGAAGAAAUCAGCAGCUAUACUUGUAAGAAUGAUACAGAAAACCAUUUCAAAAAUAAAAAGGAGAAAAAGAAGAAGGCAUCUGGCAAGAAAAUUUUUAUUUUAUAAUACGCGUAUGACGACUGAAAAAUUCGCACCCCAAAAAAAUGUCUCAGAAAAAUUGUCAACAAUAAUUGAAUCUCAUAAAACUCUUCUUUCAUCAACAAAUUUCGGAAAUCAUAGUAACGUGACAACAGAAUUGUCGACACAUAAUCAUUUGUUGAGAAACUCGAGUAAAACAUUUUCAAAAAUAGGUUUUUAUAGUAAUUCGACAACCAAAUUAACAACUCGUCAAAAGCAUUUCUUUAAAAAAUUGAAGGAAAAAUUGUUUGGAUCUCGUAAGAACUCGACAAAAAAAUGACCACAUCAAAAACGGAUCUGACUUACAAAAAAGACACUUGAAUGAUUUUUAAAUUACGAAAGUAAUCUACUGAUUUAUGAUGUAAGGUACCUUACCUACAUCAGAUAAUUGGAUAUCAAUCAAUGCCAUUUACUUCAGAUUUGAAAAUAAAUGAGUAUGAAAAGCAAAAAACUUCCCUCGUGUAUGUCGACAUUGAAUGAGGAAUAGGUUUAAAAAUGUGAUAGAAUUGCAUUUAUUUGAGACUAAAGAACUCUGAAAGAAGAUAUAGGUAUUGCUAAUUUUCAAAUUGCAAUGCAGUUUUUUGAUGGAGGAAUCGACCUAGAUCAAAAUCAGGGGGAAUCUGCCCCCAAUCUUUGAUAUGAAAAGACAGCUGUAAAAAAAUCUCAACUCUCAUCUUAUUUUCAUUUUUUUUAUUAUUAUUAUUCCAUCACAUGUAGCUAUAUGCUGGAAAUUAACUUUGAAAUUUUUGCCAAGCGGUAGUCGAAACGCUCAAUUUUCUCAAUAGAAAUUGAAAAUUUCCUCAUUUAAAAAAAAAGUAAAAUAUUGGAAAAAUUGUUGAAAAUUACGUAUACCUAACUUACUGCAUUUUGAUUUUUUUUAUGAAGGGAGUAGAAGGAGUUACAAUGUAUAGUAUCAUCAGAUACUUUGAAGGAACGUUCGUUUAGUGAGUCGAUGUUUUUAUGGGCAUGAGAGGGGAAAGUUCAGAUCAGAAAAUAGGUACCCUAAAAAUAGUUGAAAAUGAAAGAAAAGCUGGUAGGAGUCUCAAAACGAACGUGAUUAAUUGUUUUGCCAAAACUGCAAAAAAUAUUGACAAAAUUGUCUCAAAAUACCAGAAUUAUGGUCAAAUUAGCAUAUUUAUGCAAAAAAAAUUUAAAAAUAACUUCAAAAAAUUUAUAAAAAAAUUUUUAAAUGCAAAAAUGCUGAUUAAAGUGGCCAAAAAUUGGCAAAAUACCAUAAAACAUACCUAUUGAAAAUUGAGAAACGUUAAGUUGAAAACUUUUUUUCAAAAUUAAAAAAGCUUUUAUUUGCAAGGCUUCAGAUAUUAUACUAUCUAAUGAUAACACUCGUGAUAGGUACUAAAAUUGAACCAAAUCCUUUCCUAACUGCACUAUUCCGUCCAGUCUUGAUCUAUCCCUUGAGAAUGGUGAUGCGUCAGCAGUUUUCCAAAAAAAAAAACUCUAAUAUCUCAAUCCUGGCCCUUUGUUUUCCUGUGUUAUUUGAUUGCAUUUCUAUUGUUUUUAAUUUGUUUUAUUGUUUUGACGAAAUGUUGUCAAGAACUUUAGUUAAGUAUAUUUUUAAUUAAGAAAAUGAAAAAAUGAAAACAACGAAAUGUUCAUUCAAGUACAUGUAUUAUACUUUUACCUACUUUUGGUCAAAUUUCAAAGAAACGAGGCUCAUUAAAAAUUAAGAAAGCAAAAAAAAUCCCCACAAAAUAGGAAAAAAAUUUAUAAAAGUCAUAAUCAAAGUGCACUGAAUUUAAAUACGUACCUAUUUGGUCUAAUUGAGAGCUUGUCCUCUGCAAUUUCAAAAUCAGAACCUACUUUGCAAUUUUACUGGUAUCGUAGAAGUGUUUAUGAUUUGUAUACUUAUUUUUCUGUAAUUCAGAAUAUUUGUAUUUGAUUAUAAAAUAUUGUAAAAUAUUCGGACUGUCCGAUCAAACUUUGCUGCAGAAUAUGUUGGUCUAGAUUGCACAAUUUUUUUUCGUAGGGCUAGCAGUUGCAUAAUUAGAAUACAUAUACCUCAAUAAAAAUUUGAGAAAUUUUCAAUUUA